rnacentral:rRNA from 1 species
AUGGGAAGAAGAGUCGAUCUAGAACAGGGUUGGAUGCCAUGGUCUGUUCGAUCUGGAAUCGUAGGACGAGAGGAUGGGGACUUCUACAGUUUAAUCUUUUGCUACUUGGAGGCGAGCAGAGGGAAGGCAUCCUAUUUUAUGGUUCAGAGGACUCGUGUUAUGUACUUUAUUGUCAUGCAACUGCUUCUGGUUUACAUCUCGCUAAUUGGAGGCAAAGAUGCCUAUGGACAACUGACUUCUUCUAUAGUUAUGCUCAAUCAACGGAUGCUCCGAAGCUCUGCUUUCAAGGAGACCGAUCAGCUAGAAGACUAUCAACUCAAUAUGUGUCUGUAUGAUUUACACCGAAAAAUGACCAGAACUAUCAACUAUGAAAAAGGAUUCAUUCUAACAUCUCAGUGGGAGGCACCAAUGAUAAACCUGGUCAUUGCGGGACUUCAACUUAGCUAA